AAACCCUAGAGAACAACAGAGAGCUGGAGGCGAAAAUCUGAGAAGAAACCCUAAAAAUCCCAAAAUCAAUUACCUGGAGGCCAGCUUCUUCGUGUCCUUCACCACCACCGCCGUGACACUUUGUAAGUACUUCUCUUUCUUUCUUUUUAUCUUUCUCAUGAGCUUGUUGUUGAAAUUAUUGUGUGAGCUGAGAGUGAUUGAGAGGGGUUCGUUGAGAACGAGAGUGGCAUUGAGAGAAAUGUGAAGUUUGGUGAGUGUUGAUGAACAUUACCGAGAGAAGAGAGAGUGAAGGAGUGAGUUUGGGAAGGUUGAGUUCGUGAGGUGGGGAGGAAGAUGACGAUGAAGACGAACCUCUGUGUUUCCAUUUUCUUUUUUUAUUUAAUUUAAUUUGUUUUUAACACAAAAAACCAUAAAAAUGUUUAUUUUGUUUUUUUAUUUUAAAUCUUUUUUUAGCCCGUUUCAUAUAUUUAACAUAGUAUCUCAGUAGCAGAUAAUGAUGAGUGGUCUGGUGGAGAAGGGCAAUGUGUAUAUUCUUGAGUGGGGUGGGUUCAAUACUCAUGUGUGAUACUUUUUGCUUAUUAUUUUAUUUUAUCCUCUUUUAGCAUUUUUUUUUUAGUGUAGUAUUUUAUUAACAUUUUCGUUUUUUUAUGUUUAUUAUAAUUUCAUUUGUUAAUAAUGCAUAGUUGUAGUAUUUUAAUUUGGUUCAAAACCAUUUUUUUAAACUAUAAAAAUCAUACUUUCUCGAUUUAAUAUCGAGCCCAUUUUUUUUACACCCUUGUAAGUCGAUUGCUUUUUAAGCAU
rnacentral:lncRNA from 1 species